rnacentral:rRNA from 1 species
UAGGGAAUCUUCCACAAUGGACGCAAGUCUGAUGGAGCAACGCCGCGUGAGUGAAGAAGGUUUUCGGACCGUAAAGCUCUGUUGUUGGUGAAGAAGGAUAGAGGUAGUAACUGGCCUUUAUUUGACGGUAAUCAACCAGAAAGUCACGGCUAACUACGUGCCAGCAGCCGCGGUAAUACGUAGGUGGCAAGCGUUGUCCGGAUUUAUUGGGCGUAAAGCGAGCGCAGGCGGAAGAAUAAGUCUGAUGUGAAAGCCCUCGGCUUAACCGAGGAAUUGCAUCGGAAACUGUUUUUCUUGAGUGCAGAAAGAGGAGAGUAGAACUCCAUGUGUAGCGGUGGAAUGCGUAGAUAUAUGGAAGAAUACCAGUGGCGAAGGCGGCUCUCUGGUCUGCAAACUGACGCUGAGGCUCGAAAAGCAUGGGUAGCGAACAGGAUUAGAUACCCUGGUAGUCCAUGCCGUAAAACGAUGAGUGCUAAGUGUUGGGAGGCUUCCGCCUCUCAGUGCUGCAGCUAAACGCAUUAAAGCACUCCGCCUGGGGGAGUACGACCGCAAAGGUUGAAA